AUAUUUGCAUGUUUGAUGGCAAACAGCACAGUUUUUACUGUGUUGUCAGAUUUUAAGAGACUGGGGACUGAAUCAAACCUCCCAAAACCUGAAACCUCUUUGCAGUCGGUGAAGAGGAGCAGAAGUGGGUCCUGAAUCACAUUCAUUAAUUCAUUAAUGAAUUCAUUAAUUCAUUAAUGAGACCCAUCAUUAGCUGUACAAGAAGGUCGGAAUUUCCCAGCCCCAGGCAAUAAGUAGCCUAAGUGCAAGGUGUCUUCCACUCCAAAGGUGAGUGCAACGUGCUCAUUCCUACUUCCUUGUGCUCACUCCUUACUUUUAAAAUCUUAAUUCUGCUUUGAGUACAUUCCCUAGGUGCACUCUCAUAAGUCAAAGAGAAGGAUUUCACCCAUGUUGUCCAUUGCCAAAAUAAUCAGGUUUUUCCUGUUUAUAUACAACACCUACUUUACAAGAUUUUAAAAGAUUCCUUGGAAUUCCUUGAAAUUCCUUUUUGGAAGCCAGCUCAUAUGGGCAGAAAUCCAACUGAUGAAACAAUCCUGAUGGCAGAAGUGAAAGUGUCCACAUUAUCUCCAAAUUUUCUUUGCUGCAGGAACUGCCCCCUCCCAGUUUUGAACCACCACCUGAUGAGGCUUAUUUCACAAGUCUUGGCUUGUCAUUAGAACUUUUCCCACUCUUCUUCUUGGAAGUUGAAUUGUUUCCAAUUUUAGGCUUUUAAAGCAAGUGAAAGCAACAUUGCCACAAUUAAAAAUUUCUUCCAACCUGACAAGAAGGUCACCACAAGAUGAAGAAGCUGUAGCAUUAACACACAGAAUUUUCAAUAGGAAAUGAAGCCAAGUUCCAUCUGCGGUCAUUUUUCAGCCCCUUUUCCUAGUUGAACUUCUCUUGAUUUUUUUUUUCUAGAUUUGUAUGAUGUCGAACAUGCAACAGGGACAAAACAAUCUCAUGUUGAGAUUACGUUUCACAGACUGUUAAAUGUAUCUGCAAGACAGGUAAAUGCAGAGGUAGUACUUUACUUAUAAAUAUCAUUAAAACACAUGUAUCUUGUAAUUUUGAAGUUGACACAAAACACCGAAUAAAAAUUAUCUUAAAAGUCA